AUUGAACGCUGGCGGCAGGCCUAACACAUGCAAGUCGAACGGUAACAGAAAGCAGCUUGCUGCUUUGCUGACGAGUGGCGGACGGGUGAGUAAUGUCUGGGAAACUGCCUGAUGGAGGGGGAUAACUACUGGAAACGGUAGCUAAUACCGCAUAACGUCGCAAGACCAAAGAGGGGGACCUUCGGGCCUCUUGCCAUCGGAUGUGCCCAGAUGGGAUUAGCUAGUAGGUGGGGUAAAGGCUCACCUAGGCGACGAUCCCUAGCUGGUCUGAGAGGAUGACCAGCCACACUGGAACUGAGACACGGUCCAGACUCCUACGGGAGGCAGCAGUGGGGUAUAUUGCACAAUGGGCGCAAGCCUGAUGCAGCCAUGCCGCGUGUAUGAAGAAGGCCUUCGGGUUGUAAAGUACUUUCAGCGGGGAGGAAGGGAGUAAAGUUAAUACCUUUGCUCAUUGACGUUACCCGCAGAAGAAGCACCGGCUAACUCCGUG
rnacentral:rRNA from 1 species